rnacentral:lncRNA from 1 species
AAAAUCUUUAUUACAUUAAAAAAUAAGUGGGUAAGAGGGUUGCAAGUUUCAGGUACAAUGUAUGUUUGAACCACUCUUUAACUGACCCUUGCCUCAAACUUCUCCAAGUCAACUCUGCCCUCUCCCCACAGUCCAGAGGCCUCACCUACCUGGUUCUCAGACAAGGCCCGGCUUUGAUUCACCAAUUUCCCUUGUGGUGGCCUCAAUUAGUGAAAAAGGAGGGCCAGAAACAGCUACAAUCACUAGGAACAGAAGAACAAGCAUCACAGUCCUAACCCACAACCCACUGUCCAACAACAGUGCAAGGGCCUGGAUUACCCCAAUAUCAGCAGAAUGCACCAGUCCAUCUAAGGAGGCCGCCAUACUUAUUUCAGCAUCUGAUCAAGAGAUGGCAGUUCCAUUGGAGGUUUAGUAACACACUUGUGCUCCAGAGGGAAGGACAUGAACCUCAUGAGGAUUUGGGGUACUCCUCACCAGUGUUGUGGUCUUGGGAAUGGAAAGGUUCCCCUCCAAAGCAAAAUUAUUU